AUGCGCGUAGCUCAGCAGGUAGAGCGGCGGUCUCCAAAACCGCAGGUCGUUGGUUCGAAGCCAACCGCGUAUGCCA
rnacentral:tRNA from 1 species